UACGUAGGGGGCAAGCGUUGUUCGGAAUUACUGGGCGUAAAGCGUGCGUAGGUGGUUUGUUAAGUCUGAUGUGAAAUCCCCGGGCUCAACCUGGGAAUGGCAUUGGAUACUGGCAGGCUAGAGUGCGGUAGAGGGUGGUGGAAUUCCCGGUGUAGCAGUGAAAUGCGUAGAGAUCGGGAGGAACAUCUGUGGCGAAGGCGGCCACCUGGACCAGCACUGACACUGAGGCACGAAAGCGUGGGGAGCAAACAGG
rnacentral:rRNA from 1 species